rnacentral:rRNA from 1 species
GCCGUUGGAUCAGUUUCG